rnacentral:rRNA from 1 species
CUGACCCCAUGCCGAACUCAGAAGUGAAACGCCGUAGCGCCGAUGGUAGUGUGGGGACUCCCCAUGCGAGAGUAGGGAACUGCCAGGC